UGCCCUGUCGUCUAAUGGUAGGACACAAGAUUCUGGAUCUUGUUAUCUUGGUUCGAGUCCAAGCGGGGCAGCUA
rnacentral:tRNA from 1 species